GACGAACGCUGGCGGCGUGCUUUAUACAUGCAAGUCGAACGAGAAGCUGACUUCGGUCAGUGGAAAGUGGCGGACGGGUGAGUAAAAUGUAGAGAAUCUGCCCUUGAGCGGGGGAUAACAGUCAGAAAUGACUGCUAAUACCGCAUAAGCGCACAGCAUCGCAUGAUGCAGUGUGAAAAACUCCGGUGGUGUGAGAUGGACCCGCGUUGGAUUAGCUAGUUGGCAGGGCAGCGGCCUACCAAGGCGACGAUCCAUAGCCGGCCUGAGAGGGUGAACGGCCACAUUGGGACUGAGACACGGCCCAG
rnacentral:rRNA from 1 species